CCAUAACGUUACAUAUUUUAUUCAUAUCUUAUUUCUUCUUUCACUGUUUUACAUCAAACAGAGAUGCGCGAUUAUGUUUGUUUGCUACUAGUAAAGAGUGUGUUGACUGAUCAUAAUGCAAUGCCUGUGGUCUGACGAGACCUUCAGAACACGAUAAAAUUUGUCUAUGACGUUUACCGUCAUGUGAUACAACCACAAAAUUGUUGGAAUCGGUUCCCACAACAUAAACAUUUCCAUUGUUGUCUACGGAGAUACCUUGAGGGCAUUUUAAAACGUUUUCCUCUUUGAAUUCCCAUUGUGUCGUACCUUGAAAAUCACUGCAUGUAACUGUGUUGUUAUCAGGGUUUGUAUAUAUAAUAUUUUUAUCAAAACUUGUAACAUAUGAAUAUCCCGAUAUGCUAAGGGGUCCUGAUCUUAUGGAACCUAUUAUUUCAUUAUCGAAAUUGAUCGUCUUCAACCCAGCAUCGCCUGCACAAUAUAUCAAUGUUCUAUCAUUCGUUAUCAAAGCGCCUUCCUUUCUAUACCGAACGCCGCCACGUUUUCGAGUUACUUUUCUUGUCUCAAUAUCAAUUAAGUUGAUAAAAUCUGAAUCAAAACCAGAAGUAACAAUAAUCAUGUUGUUUCCAGCAAAUAAGAUAUCAAAGCAAUUAUCUAGUUUCAUCUCAAAGUCCUUUGUACCGUCGUUGUUUAUUGCUAUGACUUUAUGUUGAUAGUAAGAAGUAAACAUCAUCCUUCCAUCAGGUAUUAUUGUACAUCCUCUCACGUUGGUGGCUUGCGUGUUGACAGUCUGUCGUAAGGUUAGUGUCAGGUUAUCAAUGGACUUCAUUGGAGCGGCAAUCAUCUGUUGGGCCUGUUGAUCUUUUUGUCUACUUAGAAUAAGCUUGGUCGGCUCAUAAUCAACGAUUAUUUCCCCAAAGGAUUUGAUAUCAAUCGAAAUAUUCUGUAAAAUCGUUUCGAUUUUUAAAGAUAUUUGUGGAUGAUUCAAUUUUUCGCUUUUAAUUAUCGACUGAACGAAAUGCUCUUGCUCUGAUAAAUCGCAUUCCAUUUGCUUUGCUGCCAGGAAUAUUUGCAAAUCGGAAGCAUACUGCUUAAUAUUAGCUAACCCAGCUUGGAAUUCUUCAAUCUCUUUUUCCUUCUUCUCCACUUCACUUAGGAACUGACGAAUUUUCAUACUCUCUGUCUCCUCUGAUGCAUCAUGAUCUCUCAGUACUGCCUCAUGGAGUUUGUCUAGGUUAUUAUUAAUCGAG
rnacentral:lncRNA from 1 species